AUGGGGACGCAAGCGGCGCCGGCGACCAGCGAGAUCGCGGCGGUGGGUGUAAUAGGCGCGGGGCAGAUGGGCUCGGGCAUCGCCCAGCUCGCCGCCGUGGCCGGCUGCGGCGUCUUCCUCCUCGACUCCGACCCCGCCGCCCUCUCCCGCGCCGCCGCCUCCAUCUCCUCCUCCCUCGGCCGCCUCGUCUCCAAUCUCGCCUGGUCACAGGUUGCGUGCGAUGACUCCGUGAAGCGGAUAAAGUGCGUCUCCGAUGUGGAGGAGCUGCGGGGCGUGGAUCUGGUGAUUGAGGCCAUUGUUGAGUCCGAAGAUGUCAAGAAGAAGCUGUUCGUGGAGCUGGACAGGAUCACCAAACCUUCUGCCAUUCUUGCCUCCAACACCAGCUCCAUUUCUAUAACCCGGCUUGCCUCCGCUACCAGCCGCCCCUCUCAGGUGAUCGGCAUGCACUUUUUCAACCCUCCUCCUAUAAUGAAGCUGGUUGAAAUCAUACGAGGAGCUGAUACGUCAGAAGAGAUUUUCUCUCGAGUUAAAUCUUUUUCUGAAAGGAUUGGGAAGACCGUUAUAUGUUCACAAGAUUACCCUGGCUUCAUUGUGAACCGCAUCCUAAUGCCGAUGAUCAAUGAAGCAUUUUGGGCACUUUACACUGGGGUAGCAACCAAAGAGGACAUCGACACAGGGAUGAAGCUCGGCACGAAUCAUCCAAUGGGCCCUCUGCAGCUUGCGGACUUCAUAGGGUUAGAUGUUUGCCUCUCAGUACUUAGGGUGCUCCACAACGGGCUAGGAGAUAACAAGUACAGCCCUUGCCCUCUGCUUGUCCAAUAUGUCGACGCCGGACGACUUGGAAAGAAGCGGGGACUAGGCGUGUACUCUUACGGGAGAAGCUCUUCAUCCGUUAAACCCAAGUCGUCCCUGUGA
rnacentral:rRNA from 1 species